rnacentral:lncRNA from 13 species
AUGAAACCUGUUUUAGGACAUCACACUGCAUUCUGCGCUGAGCCCAUUUUCAGCAGAAACAUUGAUCUCUAUGGAUUUAUCACGCUCUGUCCUUGUGGCUAUUACUAUUCUUACGACUUCGGCACAUCCCUUUUGCUUUGUUUCCAGCAUCUACGGCAGCCAAUUCUUCACAUCAUUUGGCAGCUUAUGUAUUAUAGUCUUCAGACUAAAUUUACAUGUGCUACCUGGUACCAGAGGAAGAGAGACAUUAAUUGCCUUCUGGAAGACAAAUGGGAGCAAAAUUUGCAUGCCUAUUUUUCAAACCGGUUGUUUCAGAGGAAGGAAAAGGAGCAGCCAUGCAGAAAGGGUGUCUUCCGUGCCAGAGAGGGGGAGCAGCAAGACCUCUGGGACCCUACACAUCUAUUAACAUCUAUUUUAUUCUGCAUACUCUCAGUCCAGCGCGUUAACAAGCAUCAGUACUGACAAGGGAAGCUUAGCAUACAGCCCCUCAGGGGUCAGGAAACACAGAUGAACAGCAGCAGUAUCAAAAAGUAAAAUGAAGAGGAAAUUGUCCUAGAUCUGAAGAAAAAAAAAGCAUUAAGUGAAUUAUCUUUUUAACUGUGAAAUCAUGAAGAGAAGGGAAAAAGAGAAUUAAGGGGGAAAAAAGAUUCUUCCUGGAUGUAUCUUUAGAAGAAAAGAAAUCUUUAAGGUCUUUUCCUAAACUUUUAAGUGUAAAAUCCAAAACCUUUCCAAUUUCAAAAUCAUCAGAGGUGUUUGGAACAGCAUACGUGUUUAAUAUAAUAUUGUACCUCAUGGGAACAAUGGGAAAAAGUAAUACAAAUGAUGAAUAGGCUUCAUUCAUGAAGAUUUCUUAACAGGCAAGCUGUAGGGAAAAAAAGGAGGAAAAGAGGAAAGGAAACAUAAAGAGGAAACUUGGGCUUUCUAUUUGUAAAAAAGGGUAUUAAUACUUCCUUGUAAAGUACCUGAUGAAUAGCACAUGCACUGACCUUGCAUCGCAGUGGUCAUUGGAGGAGAGCACCACCAUAAAUAUGUUUUGGUCACAUCAGCACCUUUGGAUUGCCUUGCUCUGCCUACUUUUAAAUGUACUAAAAAAUGCAGGCAGUCGAUUCUGAGAGCAGCAGUGAUGCAGUGGCUUAUAUAGGGGCGGCAUAAAAGGGGCACCAAAUCACAGCAAACCUUUUCUAAAAAAGAAAAUAUUUUCUUAAAACCUUUUCCAUAAAAGAAACCAUAUCAAUACUACAAUAUUCCGUAUCAACACAGAAGAGACCAUGAGAAGAACCGCCUCUCAUGAGCUUCCCUUUCCUUCUCCCACUGGACAGAAAUGCAACUCUUCCAGCAGGGGCAGAUUUACUUACUCAUAUCAUUAAAUCUGGCCACACCAACUUUCAAAACUUGAAAUACUCAGCAUUUCCUGGUGGCAAUCUGUAUUGGCAUCUGGAAUCCUCUAACAAAUACUAAACAAUGAAUGAUCUACGAGUUUGAGAUUCAAAUAUCUGACUAAAUUUCUCUGCAAAACCACAAGGUGGUCGAUAAAAGUCGUUUGCAUUUUCAGUGAUUGCUGUGACAUGCCAACAAACUUGAGCUGGUUUUCCUGAAGCUUGGUUAUGGGAAGAUUCAACAGUAAAGCCACAAUGAGGCUCCCAAAUUCUUGUGUGGGAAUACUUUAUGGAGAAUUUCAGGAAUAUUGUUAUUGGCCCUCACUUCUUGGUUUUCACAAGCAAAAUGCACUGUAAACAGUGGGUAAGCACAGAUAAAGGAAAUCUACCCCAUUAAUUGGGAAAAUACAAAUAUUACAUCAAAUUAAAAAUGAAAAUAAAAAGAACAGUUAUUUCACAUGAGUAGAUGCUGACUCUCAUUUCACGUGGUAACCGAAUAAGUGCUCUUGAUUCCUAUCUAGUCACAUAUGAAUUUGGGAUUUUAGCUAAUGUAUUUUGAUUAUUUUUAUAACCUUUUAAAGAGCAGAAGACAG